rnacentral:rRNA from 1 species
CCCUUAGAUGUUCUGGGCCGCACGCGUGCUACACUGAGUGGAUCAGCGGCUCAGGUUGCGCGAAAGCGUUUCCUAAUCUUUAAAUCCGCUCGUGAUGGGGAUUGACGGUUGCAAUUUUCUGUCAUGAACGAGGAAUACCUUGUAAGCGCGGGUCAUCAUCCCGCGCUGAAUACGUCCCUGCCCUUUGUACACACCGCCCGUCGCUCCUACCGAUUGAGUGGUCCGGUGAGGCUUUGGGAUCUGAGCGGAAAGAGCGUUUCGCUGUUUCUGCUCGGAAAACUCAGUCGAACCUUAUCAUUUAGAGGAAGGAGAAGUCGUAACA